AACGAACGCUGGCGGCGUGCCUAAUACAUGCAAGUCGAACGGGUGUAGCAAUACAUCAGUGGCGCACGGGUGAGGAACACGUGGAUAAUCUUCCUUUUUGUGGGGAAUAACAAACCGAAAGGUUUGCUAAUACCGCAUAAGACCACAGGAUCUACGGAUCUAGGGGUUAAAGGUGGCCUCUAUUUAUAAGCUAUCGCAAAAAGAUGAGUCCGCGUCCCAUUAGCUAGUUGGUAGGGUAACGGCCUACCAAGGCUACGAUGGGUAACUGGUCUGAGAGGAUGACCAGUCACACUGGAACUGAGACACGGUCCAGACUCCUACGGGAGGCAGCAGUAGGGAAUAUUGCGCAAUGGGCGAAAGCCUGACGCAGCAACGCCGCGUGAGUGAUGAAGGCUUUCGGGUCGUAAAGCUCUGUCGUAAGGGAAAAAAGUUCAUGGCUAAUAUCCAUGAGUUUUGAUGGUACCUUACAAGAAAGCACCGGCUAACUACGUGCCAGCAGCCGCCGUAA
rnacentral:rRNA from 1 species